rnacentral:rRNA from 1 species
CCUACGGGAGGCAGCAGUGAGGAAUAUUGGUCAAUGGGCGAGAGCCUGAACCAGCCAAGUCGCGUGCGGGAGUACUGCCCUAUGGGUUGUAAACCUCUUUUGUCGGGGAGCAAAAGCCGGACGUGUCCGGCUGUGAGAGUACCCGAAGAAAAAGCAUCGGCAAACUCCGUGCCAGCAGCCGCGGUAAUACGGGGGAUGCGAGCGUUAUCCGGGUUUUUUGGGUUUAAAGGGGGCGCAGGCGGAUUUUUAAGUCAGCGGUCAAAUCGUGGGGCUCAACCCCGUCCAGCCGUUGAAACUGGGGAGCUUGAGUGUGCGAGAGGUAUGCGGAAUGCGUGGUGUAGCGGUGAAAUGCAGAGAUAUCACGCAGAACCCCGAUUGCGAAGGCAGCAUACCGGUGCACAACUGACGCUCAGGCACGAAAGCGUGGGUAUCGAACAGGAUUAGAUACCCGAGUAGUC